rnacentral:rRNA from 1 species
UACGUAGGGUGCAAGCGUUAUCCGGAAUUAUUGGGCGUAAAGAGCUCGUAGGCGGUUUGUCACGUCUGCUGUGAAAACUGGAGGCUCAACCUCCAGCCUGCAGUGGGUACGGGCAGACUAGAGUGCGGUAGGGGGAGACUGGAAUUCCUGGUGUAGCGGUGAAAUGCGCAGAUAUCAGGAGGAACACCGGUGGCGAAGGCGGGUCUCUGGGCCGUAACUGACGCUGAGGAGCGAAAGCGUGGGGAGCGAACAGG